UGCACUCUGGAUUUUUGCAGGCACAAAUGCGCGCAGAGGCAUUGCGCCCGGUCAAGGUGGAGUAUAAGGGGAACGACUCCCCGUUCUUUGAAGUCUCGCGUUACCAAUUAUACUCGCGACUGACCACAGGAUUCAGUUACAUAGAUAUACAAAUCAAAUCCAUCGCGCCAUACAACCGGAGCCCCUAUAUUAUCCUAUCUUUCCAUCACUCUUUUGGGGGAAAGACUUCGAGAGAAAGUUUUAUGAGGGCGUAACAACCGACAGUCAUUUGUUCAAACUGAACUUGUUUUUUUCUUUCUUUUGUUGUUCUU